rnacentral:rRNA from 1 species
UACGUAAGGAGCAAGCGUUGUCCGGAAUCAUUGGGCGUAAAGCGCGCGUAGGCGGCCUCAUAAGUCCGUUGUGAAAGUCAAAGGCUCAACCUUUGAAAGCCGAUGGAUACUGUGAGGCUAGAGUCCGGAAGAGGCGAGUGGAAUUCCUGGUGUAGCGGUGGAAUGCGCAGAUAUCAGGAGGAACACCAAUAGCGAAGGCAGCUCGCUGGGACGGUACUGACGCUGAGACGCGAAAGCGUGGGGAGCGAACAGG